UACGUAGGGUGCGAGCGUUUAAUCGGAAUUACUGGGCGUAAAGCGUGCGCAGGCGGUUCGUUGUGUCCGAUGUGAAAGCCCCGGGCUUAACCUGGGAAUGGCAUUGGAAACUGGCGAGCUUGAGUGCGGAAGAGGCGAGUGGAAUUCCUAGUGUAGAGGUGAAAUUCGUAGAUAUUAGGAAGAACACCAGUGGCGAAGGCAGCUCACUGGCCCGGUACUGACGCUGAGGCGCGAAAGCGUGGGGAGCAAACAGGG
rnacentral:rRNA from 1 species